CUGCCCCACUCUGGGAUGGGCUUCCAGAACUCCUGCCUGCCCUGUCCUGCUGGCAAGUUCUGCCAAGGAGAAGGUCUGGCUGCUGUUUCUGGACCUUGUCAUGCUGGGUAUUUCUGUGAUCCUGGCUCCACACAGCCAGACCACAGGCAUUGCCCUGCUGGCUUCUACUGCCCUGAAGGCUCUGAAUUCCCAAUUCCCUGCAGCCCUGGAAGCUUCAGCCCUGCCAGUGGGAAAGGGCAGGCAGCAGACUGUCAGCUCUGCCCAGCUGGGCACUCCUGCAGCGGUCCUGGAGCACAAACUCCUGAGCUGUGCCCUGCUGGCCACUUCUGCCUGCCAGGGACCACCUUCAGCACGGAGCAUCCCUGUCCCAAGGGCACCUUUGGGCCCAGGGCCGG